AGAGUUUGAUCCUGGCUCAGGAUGAACGCUAGCGGCAGGCUUAACACAUGCAAGUCGAGGGGUAACAGGGAAAAGCUUGCUUUUCCGCUGACGACCGGCGCACGGGUGCGUAACACGUAUGCAACCUACCUCUUACUGAAGGAUAGCCCAGAGAAAUUUGGAUUAAUACUUCAUAACACCACAAGAUCGCAUGAUCUCAUGGUUAAAGGUUACGGUAAGAGAUGGGCAUGCGUCCUAUUAGUUUGUUGGUGAGGUAAUGGCUCACCAAGACUACGAUAGGUAGGGGGUCUGAGAGGAUUAUCCCCCACACUGGUACUGAGACACGGACCAGACUCCUACGGGAGGCAGCAGUGAGGAAUAUUGCGCAAUGGACGAAAGUCUGACGCAGCCAUGCCGCGUGAAGGAUGACGGCGCUACGCGUUGUAAACUUCUUUUAUAUACCAAGAAACCUUCGGACGUGUCCGAAGCUGACGGUAGUAUAUGAAUAAGCACCGGCUAACUCCGUGCCAGCAGCCGCGGUAAUACGGAGGGUGCAAGCGUUAUCCGGAUUUAUUGGGUUUAAAGGGUCCGUAGGCGGAUCAUUAAGUCAGUGGUGAAAGCCGACAGCUCAACUGUCGAACUGCCAUUGAUACUGGUGAUCUUGAGUACGGUUGAAGUAGGCGGAAUAUGACAUGUAGCGGUGAAAUGCUU
rnacentral:rRNA from 1 species